rnacentral:rRNA from 1 species
GGGCGCAAGCCUGACGCAGCGACGCCGCGUGAGUGAAGAAGGUUUUCGGAUCGUAAAGCUCUGUUGUAAGUCAAGAACGAGUGUGAGAGUGGAAAGUUCACACUGUGACGGUAGCUUACCAGAAAGGGACGGCUAACUACGUGCCAGCAGCCGCGGUAAUACGUAGGUCCCGAGCGUUGUCCGGAUUUAUUGGGCGUAAAGCGAGCGCAGGCGGUUUGAUAAGUCUGAAGUUAAAGGCUGUGGCUCAACCAUAGUUCGCUUUGGAAACUGUCAAACUUGAGUGCAGAAGGGGAGAGUGGAAUUCCAUGUGUAGCGGUGAAAUGCGUAGAUAUAUGGAGGAACACC